rnacentral:rRNA from 1 species
UUUGACUCAGCGCGGGAAAAUCUUACCAGGGUCCGGACACACUGAGGAUUGACAGGAAGUAUCGUCUUUUGAAAUCUUUAAGCACAUGUCGUUUCUAAUGACAUCUUUUAGAUGAAUGAUUCGUGUAAAUAUGCUAGUUCUUUCAUGAUUAUGUGAUAGGUGGUGCAUGGCCGUUCUUAGUUCGUGGAGUGAUCUGUCUGCUUAAUUGCGUUUCACUAUGGCCCCAAAGUUAGCAAGUUAUCCAAUCAUGACCUUCGUCGACCCCUCACCUUUGAGUGCGCGUCCUAGCUUAGAGUACAUGGUGUAAAUGGACUUGUUUUGGGUACCCAGAAAGCAACGAACGUGACCGCAACGUCUUGUUGUCUCUCUUUUGACAGUUAUGGGUUAUCCCAGUCAUGUGUUUAUACUUUUAUGUGUAAAUACGUACGACACA